rnacentral:rRNA from 1 species
CACUAUAAAGUUACAGAAUGUCUUUUAAAGAUUGUGCUAGCCGCAGUCAUUAAACCUAUACAACUUACAGCAACGGAUCUCUUGGCUCUCCCAUCGAUGAAGAACGCAGCGAAAUGCGAUAAGUAAUGUGAAUUGCAGAAUUCAGUGAAUCAUCGAAUCUUUGAACGCACCUUGCGCCCUUUGGUAUUCCGAAGGGCAUGCCUGUUUGAGUGUCAUU